rnacentral:sRNA from 1 species
AUGUACCACUCGUACACUCCGGUUCCUGCGCGCCGCCCACACCCACCUGACGACUGCUCGCCACGUUUUGUUAGCC